rnacentral:lncRNA from 1 species
UCCUGUUCAAGCCAAUUUCAUAGGUCUGAAGUGAUCCUAUGAGUUCAUCUAAAUUUAGACUUGAAAGAUCAUGAGCCUCCUCAAUGGCUGUCACCUUCAUAUCAAACCUUUUAGGCAAAGAUCUGAGAAUUUUUCCAACUAGCUCCUCAUCUGAGAUAGGUUUUCCAAGUGCAUCAAACGAAUUUGCAAAGUCAAGCACAUUCAUUUAAAAGUCAUGAAUGCUUUC